rnacentral:tRNA from 1 species
AUUCUUAUAGUUUAAAUAAAAUAUGAUGUUGAAAAUAUCAAGAUAUUGAAGUUUAAGAGUA